CAAUCUGAACCAAUGGAAUUUUAGAACGUAGAUUGCUGAAGGAUAUUUUUAUACAGUUCUAUUUUUAUACAGUGUAAAAAUGGUGUUAGGGUGACUGGGUGUUGGGUUGCACGUUAAAACCAGAUAGCACUAAAGUCCAAAAGUACGCUAAUUAAGAGGUGAUAACGUGCUGAUGCCAGUUAGAAGGAAGCCCCUGCUAUUCCCAGAGCUGCACAAAUGUUAUAUCAAGUAUAUGGAGUGUAUGCCAGGUCGGGUGAUGCAAGGCUAAUACCAGACGCUGGAACCAGGCGGUCACAUAUCACAUGGGCAAAGCAUAGCGACCCCCAGCCUGAUGGGCAGUGAUGGCUGGACAGGGCGUGCUGCUGUUCCCUCAGUCAAUAACAGCCUAACCCAUGUCAUGCUCAGUUCAUCCACCUGUUUAUCCUGCUACCCCCUACUGCCCCGGAGAUUCACCUGAGCAGGCACCUAUAGACUCAGAGUCGGAGAAGAGCCCAGAGGGUCAGCCAAUCAAAAUGUGUCUACCAAACAAGACCUUGAGAAUGCUGCUAGGACUACCGAUGGAAGUGACAUCACAAUCACCUGCCAAGGGCCAUGGAGCCAUCUCACCUGCCUUGACACAAAACCUGCCCUAACCUUAACUGCUAAACAGCACACUUUCCCAGGGU